rnacentral:lncRNA from 1 species
AGAAGCUGAAAACAACCUAGAUGUCCCACGACAGAAAAAUGGAUACAGAAAAUGUGGUCAUUUCCACAUGGAAUACUACUUGGCUAUUAAGAAUGAGGACAUCCUGAGUUUUGCAGGCAAGUAGAUGGAACUAGAAAAUAUCAUCCUGAGUGAGGAACUAUUCGGUACUAAUUGCCAGCAGCUCUUUUUGCUCUGGUGAGGAUAAAGUCAGUAAGAUAAUAUUUUCUCACAAAGAAAUGGAGAAGAACAAAAAAUAAGACUGGCUGAUACUAAUACUAUGAAUAAUAAUCAAAGAGAGCAAAGGCCUGUGGAAAUGAAGGGUUCAAGAAUACAACCUAUCUUAUGCUACCAUAAUUUAGAAUACAGGAUAUGGCUAACCCAUGGGACUUGGAAAAUCCAGGAUUAACUAGUUAAACUGUUCAGAAAGCUCUGAUCUCAGCUGUUCACUGACAGAACAGGUCGCCUCCCAAAUGUCAGAGAGCCAUAAGCAAAGACGAGUCUGGCUCGAGUAGAAGUCUUGAAUCAUUCACUAAGAAAGGAAUAAACAACUGAGGAAGAUCAUGUCAACCAUUGGCAUCCACACGUAUCUGAAAGAAGUCCAUGUGCCCCUCCCUGCAUGCAUGUGAAAACGUACAUGCAUGCGCAACACAGAUGCAGAGUGAGUUUCUAGUAUUGCAUCCAGCUAUUGGACUAUGAUUAGCUGCGAUGUUAAUUUCGGGUAAAGUGAUGCUUCUGCAUCAUCUUCCUCAGAAGAAAGACUGAUCAGUCGUGCUGCACUGG